UUUCUGUCAACGACUCUGCAAACACUUCAUCCGGAAAGACAGUACUGGCUGAUUGGAGGCAGGUAUCAAGGAAACAAGUGGAUUUGGAAAACGUUGCGGAGAAAGAAAAAGAGG